GGAAUAAUACAUCAAUAAUUGGUUAGGUAUUAAGUGCUUGCUCUAAUGCUCUGCCUACUGUAGGUGAUGUCACCGGGGCCAUGAGGGUCUCCCACGGUUUUUCCGGCGCCAUCUUGAUGCACGAGGUAGUUAGUCGACGUUAGGAGGGGAAGGGAGGGGGAAGGAGGGAUUAGAAGCUUCUAGCAGCCAUCUUGAUUAAAAUAUGUGUUUAGUUUUAUGCGAUACAUAUAUUUCAUGAAAUGAGUAAAUAGACAUUUUUCUCUAUCUAGGAAAUAUGUGCAGACCUUAUUUCCACAACAGUCCCCCCUAAAAUGGCUAUUUACCAUAACAACUGCCGCUGUCCCUAAUAUGUCCCUAGUUGCCCGCAACCUAUCUGUCUUGACAAGCAUCGAACGCUUCACUCCGCGGGUAUCCCGCAGUGGCUAGCCCACUACAUCUCCACACGUGAGACUCACCUGUCAAGACAGACGCUUUCCCUACUCUAUCCCUAUAGAAAGGCAGUUGUCUGUUUAAACUGAUGUGCUUGUAGGGGUGUAUGUGGGGUGUCAUCUUCGAGGUCUGUGAUAUCUUGAUGUAGGAAGGUAGGGGUCACGUUAUCCACAGUCUUAUCCACUGCUUUCUGCAGAUAUUUCUGUAUGCAGGGGAGUAUGCAACAGGCUAAAAACAAGAAGAUAAUGAACACUAUAAAAACAGCUGUCCCCACCUGGAAGAGGGUCUUUUGCCAGCCAUUCAUCCACCCAAACCAUUUGUCCCAUAUGUCCGUGGCUCCCGAAUUCUUCUUUAAUUCGUCUGCAAGACUAUCUAGCUUCUCUAUGGCCGUAGUCACCUUACCAUUGGGCCCAGUGUUGUCUGGAAUGUAUGUGCAACAUGUCAUGGUUUCAGGGAGGAUUUUACAUACCCCCCCCUUCUCAGCUAAAAUCAUAUCUAGGGCCAUUCUAUUCUGAAAUGUCAUUUGGGUUGUGGCUUGUAGCUGUUCUGCUAGGCCCUGUAGGGCAUCCCUCGUAUAAUUGACAAAGCGCUGCUGAUUAUAAUAGAUAUAGUUGAUCCAAUUGACAUUUUUAUUAGCCGUUAUCAUUGGAAUUAGGGAUUCAAAUCCUGCAGCUACUUCAUCUCUUGCUUUGAAUUCGUUGGGCACCCCCCUAGGCACACCUAUGGCAUCAAUAUAUACAUGGGGGUCGAAGCUCCCUCGGAUAGGAGCCUCUCGUUUGGUUCUAGGGUGUAUAUGCGUGAGGUUUAAAGUGUUAUGACUACCAUCUGGAAUAAUGUGGAUAGGCAUUAUGACUUUGGUUAGGGCACACUCCCCCCACCAUUGCCCAGCUAAUUGGGACCUCAAUUGUUUGUCACCACAUAACCAAUAGAUAUCACCGAUUGUCUGUGUGUGAUUCAUUAGUAGAGAUACAGGUGGACUAUGGUAAGUUGAGCAGUAUCCUGAUGGGAAUUUGCCCAGAUACAAACCAGUGUUCUCAGGUAUUGAAUAGCAUGUGUAAUUACCUGGGUAGAUGGUGACUCCAUCAGGUGGUUUCACAUGUCCAUGGGUGAUUGGGUAAACCUUCUUCCAGGAUUCACAUGUUGAGGAGUUGGUGAUAGAUUGUGCAUACAAACUCAGUACACAUGAUUCUAUUUCGGGGGGUAAGGUCAGAGGUACUGUGCCCAGAUGGGGUCUGGCACCUCCACAUACGUAACAAUUAGUCUUAUUGUGUGAGUUUGCGUUGUACCUCAUCCAUUCUAGCCACAAAUUAGUGUCUGAAAACCCUGUUUCUACUGCCAUGGUAUCCUCAAAAGUGGGGUUAGCUAUGGCCACCAUGUCAUGUAGGGUCUUGAUAUGUGGUUUUAAUGGGUUAAUGACCAUAUGUGUGGUUCCUACCCAGUCAGAAGAAUUUAACAUAUCUUGCAGGUAAAAGGUCCCCAAUGCGUUAUGUGAUCCGCCUCCCUUCCAGUACAUUCCCAUCACAUACUCCCCUGCAUCCCUCGGGCUAGGGUGUUCUAUAUUCAAGGUGAGUUUAAUGGGAGUUGACCCUAUGGGUUUACUUAGGGUCAUUCUAGAGAGUAAGGGUUUCCCAUCUUUGUCAAGUUUGUCUAAUGCGACUUGAGGUCUGUAACCCCAUGGUCUACCUGUGUUCCACCCGGCAGCUUUCCAUGAACUACAGUGGUGACCCCAAACUCCUCCAGUCACACAAAUGUAUGGGUCCUUUUUGUUAGGAAUGUCCUUAUAUAUAGUUGCAUGUUGUGUUUGUGGGAAUGUACAAGUGACUAUGUCACAAUAGUCAAAGGUGUAUGUAGCCACAUCAGUAUUAGAAGAAUUGUACCAAAAAGUGUAAACAUGAUUAUCUUUGGUUAUGGCCACUUGUUGGGCCCAGGCAAAAUGUAGUAGCAUAAGAAAACACAAGACACAUAAUAAAUUCAUUUUUCAACAGGAUCAGUAGGAUCAGUCUCUUCUGGAGCAGGAACUUUUUUGCAAUGUGAAGCGUGUAUCCAAGAACUCUUCCCAGCUAGCUUAACUGACGUUGCUGUAAUCAGGAGCACUUGGUAAGGACCAUCAAAUCUCGGUUCUAAGGUGUGCUUUCUGAGGAACUUCUUAACCAUAACCCAGUCACCCGGAAGCAGCUUGUGUGUACCUGUAUUCGACUCAGGAUCUGGAAUAGAAGAAAACACUUGGGCAUGUAUCUUGGUCAAGGCAUGUGAAAGGGCUGUCACAUAGUCUACCAUAGCAUCUGAUUGGAUCUGAAGCUGUUGGGGAAAGUAACAACCUAACCUGGGUGCUGUACCAAACAGAAUCUCAUAAGGUGACAGGCUGUAUUUCCCCCUAGGAGUGUACCUCACACUAAACAAUGCUAAUGGGAGACUCUCGGGCCAGGGCAUGUUAGUCUCUUGUGACAUUUUAAGCAUUCUGGCUUUCAAAGUGCCAUUCAUGCGCUCUACCUUGCCACUACUCUGUGGGUGAUAUGGUGUAUGGAAUGCAAGGGUCACCCCCAGUGCUGACCAGACUUCCCGUGUUAGCGAGGCAGUAAAAGAGGUUCCCUGGUCACUUUCAAUCACUUCUGGAACUCCAUAGCGGCAAACAAUUUCCGUCAGAAGGUACUUGGCUGUAGUCCUUGCGGUGAGGUUGGUCACUGGGAAAGCCUCUGGCCAUCCUGAAAACAUGUCCACUAUGACCAAUGCAUAAUCAUAACGUCCGCUCUUUGGCAUCUGAAUGUGAUCAAUCUGAAUCCUCUGAAAGGGAUAUUGUGGUUUGGCUAGGUGAUUAGGUGCAGUCUUUAUAACUUUCCCAGGAUUGCAUUUAGCACAUAUAGUACAGGAUUUACAAUAAUUCUGUGUUAAAGUGGUGAUGCCUGGUGCUUCAAAAUACUUGUCAAUCAGCGAGUUCAUCAGAAGUUUUGACAGGUGGGCUGGCCCAUGGGCCCAUUGGACCACCGCUGGAUACAUGUUUCUGGGUAGGCAAAACUUGAGAUUGAUAGUGUAAACAUCAUCACGGAGUACAGCUCCUUUGUUCUUCCAACUUUGUUUCUCCUGUGGGGUAGCAGCAGCUUGUUGUUCCUUCAGGAGCCUGAGGUCAGUAGGCAAUGUUUGCAUAGUGUAGAUAGGUAAUGCAUCUGUAGCCACUCUUCUGUCCACUUCCCAUCCUUGCCGUGCUGCCUCUUUAGCUGCCUGAUCAGCCAAGUGGUUUCCACGUGCUUCUUCUGUAUCCAAUUUUCCGUGGGCUUUUACUUUCAAUACUGCCACUUCUGCUGGAAGUUCUAAUGCAUCCAUUAGUUCUGCAAUAGUUACCCCAUGUUUUACCGGGGUACCAGUAGCUGUAAGAAAUCCUCUGGUCUUCCAAAUUAAACCGAAGUCAUGUGCCACUCCCAGGGCAUAUCUUGAGUCUGUAUAAAUGUUGACACGUAGACCUUCAGACAGUUUGCAAGCCACGGUCAGAGCUGUCAACUCUGCUUCUUGGGCAGACUUGGUUGGUUGUAGAGCAGCUGCUUGUAAUACGUGACAUCCUGUGGUGACUGCAUAUCCAGUGUGAUACUGUCCUUGUUCAUCAGCAAAUCUUGAGCCAUCCACAAAUAAUGUUUGAUCCGGAUUAAGUAAUGCAGCUUCAUAAACAGUUGGUAGGUGUGUAGUUUCCAUUUUCAUUUGUUCAAAACAGUCAUGAGGGAUAUCAAUGAAGUCACAAUCCAUGGUAAGUGGGUCCUCACAGGCCUCUGUGUGGUACCUGGGGUACCCUGUUGUACAGUAAUCAAUGGUCUUUUUGCUAAUCCCUGCAGAAGUUAGUUGUGCUUGAGUCAUUUGGUUCCAUGUUCUGGCCAUCGGGCCUAAGUCCUUCCAUGAGGUGUUGUGGGAUCUGGUGAGAGAUAUGUGUGGAAUAGCUGUAUCCCAGUGGUGAUAGAGGUGUGUUACAUUCUCUGGGAGGCAAACCAAGACAAGCAUUGUACCUGUAGAGUCCCAGAAUAAAUCAGUCAGGGAAAUUUGAAUUUCUUUGAGCUGGAAUAGUUCUUCUUCAUAGUUCAUGUCAGGGCUUGGUACAUCCGUAAACCACAGUGUGCAGUGGAGUAGGGCCUCUGGUUGUUCAUCAUGUGGGGGUGUAAGUACAGGCAACUGUAGGUCUGCUUGAAUUUCUGGGUUGAUAUCCAGGCUGUACCAAUGAUAGACAAUUCCCCCCUUGGGAAGUGGCAGAAGAGUGGCAGGAUUCAGGGAAAGACAUCUCUGAAGUUUAACAUUGUCAGGUAGGAGCAAGGAAGUCUGUAGGCGAAGGUGGCGCUGGGAGGAAAGGUGCUUUGGUUGGGUUUGUUGCAGGAUGGCAGUAAUGUCAUGAGGGGCCAACACUGUAAGGUGGUGGCCGAGAACAAAAUCAUUGGUCUUGUCAAGGAGGGCGCUGGCGGCAAACACCGCUCGUAGGCAGGAGGGGCUACCUCUCGCUACAGGGUCAAGCAUGCAGGAAAAAUAGCCAAUAGGGCGUUGUCUUGACCCAUGUUUCUGAGUGAGAACCCCUGAAGCAUGUCCUGAUUUCUCAGAGACAAACAGAUUGAAAGGAAGAUGGUAGUUGGGAAGGCCCAAGGCAGGUGCUGAGGCAAUAGCUCUUUUCAGGUUGUGGAAACAGGUGAUAGUUUCUUCAGUAAGGUGGAAGGGUUCACUCCUGAGGGUAUCAUAGAGUGGUUGCAUGAGUUUUGAUGCUUCUGGGAUCCAGGAUCUGCAGUAUGUUAUAAGACCCAAAAAAGCAUGAAGAGUCUGAUGUGUUGCAGGUAGAGGGAGGUGCAGAAUAGCUUGCACACGUUGAGAAGUCAGAUGUUUGGUGCCAUGGGAAAGGCAGUGUCCCAAGAAGACCACAGAUGGCCGGCACCAUUGUAGUUUUGAUUUUGAAGCUUUGCAACCUGCUGCAGCGAGGAAACACAGGAGGUCUUCUGAGUCACGCUCUGCAGUGAGCAAAUCAGGAGCACAGAGAAGUAGAUCAUCAACAUAUUGAAGUAGGACAACAUCCAGAUGAGAUUUCUGCCAGGGAUCGAGAACAAGAGACAUGGCAUGAGCAAACUGUGUGGGAGAGUUCUGAGCACCCUGUGGCAUAACAGUCCAGGUGUAUUGUUGCCCUUCAUGUGUGAAAGCAAAAAGAAAACGGCAGGAAGGGUCAAGUGGAACACUGAAAAAGGCAUUGGCUAAAUCCACCACAGUGAAUAUAGUAGAAGUUGGUGAGACUUGGGACAAGAGGGUAUGUGGAUUUGGAACAAUAGCAGUGUCCUUUAUGGUGACUUCAUUGACAGCACGAAGGUCUUGCACCAUGCGGUACUGGUCAGGCUGACCUUUAACAGUGCGCUUUUUGACAGGAAAAAGAGGGGUGUUGCAAGGAGAUGUGCACUUGAUGAGGGCACCUUUGGCAAGUAGGCUGUCAACUUGCUUGGUGAUGGCGUCAGCUUGUGCUGGCUUCAGAGGAUACUGUGGUCUACGGG
rnacentral:lncRNA from 1 species